rnacentral:rRNA from 1 species
AUUGAACGCUGGCGGCAGGCCUAACACAUGCAAGUCGAGCGGAUGAAGGGAGCUUGCUCCUGGAUUCAGCGGCGGACGGGUGAGUAAUGCCUAGGAAUCUGCCUGGUAGUGGGGGAUAACGUCCGGAAACGGGCGCUAAUACCGCAUACGUCCUGAGGGAGAAAGUGGGGGAUCUUCGGACCUCACGCUAUCAGAUGAGCCUAGGUCGGAUUAGCUAGUUGGUGGGGUAAAGGCCUACCAAGGCGACGAUCCGUAACUGGUCUGAGAGGAUGAUCAGUCACACUGGAAGUGAGACACGGUCCAGAGUCCUACGGGAGGCAGCAGUGGGGAAUAUUGGACAAUGGGCGAAAGCCUUAUCCAGCCAUGCCGCGUGUGUGAAGAAGGUCUUCGGAUUGUAAAGCCCUUUUAGUUGGGAGGAAGGGCAGUAAGUUAAUACCUUGCUGUUUUGACGGUACCAACAGAAUAAGCACCGGCUAACUUCGUG